GGAAAUAUGGCCAAGUGGUUCAAAGCGUAGCAUUGGAACUGCUAUGUAGGAUUUUUCUUACUAAGGGGUCGAAUCCCUAUCUUUCUG
rfam:Picea glauca, whole genome shotgun sequence.